CAUGCAGUCGAGCGGAACGAGUUAUCUGAACCUUCGGGGGACGAUAACGGCGUCGAGCGGCGGACGGGUGAGUAAUGCCUAGGAAAUUGCCCUGAUGUGGGGGAUAACCAUUGGAAACGAUGGCUAAUACCGCAUGAUGCCUACGGGCCAAAGAGGGGGACCUUCGGGCCUCUCGCGUCAGGAUAUGCCUAGGUGGGAUUAGCUAGUUGGUGAGGUAAGGGCUCACCAAGGCGACGAUCCCUAGCUGGUCUGAGAGGAUGAUCAGCCACACUGGAACUGAGACACGGUCCAGACUCCUACGGGAGGCAGCAGUGGGGAAUAUUGCACAAUGGGCGCAAGCCUGAUGCAGCCAUGCCGCGUGUGUGAAGAAGGCCUUCGGGUUGUAAAGCACUUUCAGUCGUGAGGAAGGUGGUGUAGUUAAUAGCUGCAUUAUUUGACGUUAGCGACAGAAGAAGCACCGGCUAACUCCGUGCCAGCAGCCGCGGUAAUACGGAGGGUGCGAGCGUUAAUCGGAAUUACUGGGCGUAAAGCGCAUGCAGGUGGUUUGUUAAGUCAGAUGUGAAAGCCCGGGGCUCAACCUCGGAAUAGCAUUUGAAACUGGCAGACUAGAGUACUGUAGAGGGGGGUAGAAUUUCAGGUGUAGCGGUGAAAUGCGUAGAGAUCUGAAGGAAUACCGGUGGCGAAGGCGGCCCCCUGGACAGAUACUGACACUCAGAUGCGAAAGCGUGGGGAGCAAACAGGAUUAGAUACCCUGGUAGUCCACGCCGUAAACGAUGUCUACUUGGAGGUUGUGGCCUUGAGCCGUGGCUUUCGGAGCUAACGCGUUAAGUAGACCGCCUGGGGAGUACGGUCGCAAGAUUAAAACUCAAAUGAAUUGACGGGGGCCCGCACAAGCGGUGGAGCAUGUGGUUUAAUUCGAUGCAACGCGAAGAACCUUACCUACUCUNGACAUCCAGAGAACUUUCCAGAGAUGGAUUGG
rnacentral:rRNA from 1 species